AAAAGCAUUUUAUAUGUAUAUAUGUGUGUGUGUGUGUGUAUAUAUAUAUAUAUAUAUACACACACACACACAUACAUACAUGUAUGCACACA
rnacentral:miRNA from 1 species